UACGAAGGGUGCAAGCGUUACUCGGAAUUACUGGGCGUAAAGCGUGCGCAGGCGGUUAUGUAAGACAGGUGUGAAAUCCCCGGGCUUAACCUGGGAACUGCAUUUGUGACUGCAUAGCUAGAGUACGGUAGAGGGGGAUGGAAUUCCGCGUGUAGGCAGUGAAAUGCGUAGAUAUCCGGAAAGAACACCAAAGGCGAAAGGCAGUGUCCCAUGGCUGGGUACCUGAC
rnacentral:rRNA from 1 species